rnacentral:misc_RNA from 1 species
CGGAAUUUGAGGGGUGAAUCAAAGGUGUUUGCAUCAUUCUCUUUGUUGUCUGUUGUAUUUGAAUGAAAAGAUUUUUUCUUCUUCAGGUUAGAAGACUAUUCAAUUCUCAAACCCUUAGAUUCUUCUGCACAGAGUUAGGCACAGAUCAUAUCAAUUGUUGAUUUGGCUAUGUUCUGAUUGUUGAAUAUUUUGGUGGUCUAGAGCUCUAUCUCUCUCCCUUAUUGUCUCCUUAAAAAAUUUUAGUAUGAUUUCAUCUCUUCAUUUAAGAGGACAUGUGAGUAUUUUUCUAUCUCUGGCAUCCUUCUUUAAGGAGCUGAAGGAGCAUGAUGAGUAAUGUUGAGGUUCCUGCUCCAUGUCAGUUAAAUUAGUUUCCUUCAUGUUGAAUGAAAUUUAUUGUACAUCAGCUUCUGACCAGAUCAUCUGUGGGAUGGAGUUGGAGUGUGG